rnacentral:rRNA from 1 species
AGUCUACGGGAGGCAGCAGUGAGGAAUAUUGGUCAAUGGGCGGAAGCCUGAACCAGCCAAGUAGCGUGCAGGAUGACGGCCCUAUGGGUUGUAAACCUGCUUUUAUGCGGGGAUAAAGGGGCCCACGUGUGGGCUUUUGCAGGUACCGCAUGAAUAAGGACCGGCUAAUUCCGUGCCAGCAGCCGCGGUAAUGACU